UGGCGACCGGCGCACGGGUGCGUAACGCGUAUGCAACCUACCUUUAACAGGGGGAUAACACUGAGAAAUUGGUACUAAUACCCCAUAAUAUUCGGAGAGGCAUCUCUCCGGGUUGAAAACUCCGGUGGUUAUAGAUGGACAUGCGUUGUAUUAGCUAGUUGGUGAGGUAACGGCUCACCAAGGCAACGAUACAUAGGGGGACUGAGAGGUUAACCCCCCACACUGGUACUGAGACACGGACCAG
rnacentral:rRNA from 1 species